rnacentral:rRNA from 1 species
GAGUUUGAUCCUGGCUCAAGAUGAACGCUGGCGGCGUGCCUAACACAUGCAAGUCGAGCGAAGCACAUAUGCGGAGGCCUCCGGGCCAAAGGAUGUGUGACUGAGCGNCGGACGGGUGUAUAACGCGUGGGUAACCUGCCCUAUACAGGGGGAUAACAGCUAGAAAUGGCUGCUAAUACCGCAUGAGCGCCCANCUCCGCAUGGAGCGGUGUGAAAAACUCCGGUGGUAUAGGAUGAACCCGCGUCCGAUUAGCUANUUGGUGGGGUAAAGGCCCACCAAGGCGACGAUCGGUAGCCGACCUGUAAAGGUGACCGGCCACAUUGGAACUGAGUCACGGCCCAAACUCCUACGGGGAGCANCAGUGGGGAAUAUUGCACAAUGGGGGAAACCCUGAUGCAGCANCGCCGCNUGGNUGGAAGGAGCGUUGCGGCGCGUUAAAGCCCUGUCAGCGGGGAAAAAGAANAACGGUACCCAACCAAGAUACCCCGGCUUAAUACGUGNCAGCAGCCGNGGUAAUUACGUAAGAGGCGAAGCGUUACCCGGGAUUACUGGGUGUUANAGGGAGCUGAAACGGGGAAGGAAGCCUUGAAGUGGAAACCCCGCGGCNCCAACCGCGGGAACUGGCUGAGGGGAACUGGUUUUGCCUG